rnacentral:sRNA from 1 species
AAGCUUUCAGAGUUCACUGGCCGGGUGUGGUGACUCAUCCCUGUAAUUCCAACUUGGGGGCUGAGGCAGAAGGAUCCCUUGAAGCCAGGAGUUUGAGACCCACCUGGGCAACAUAGACCUCAUUUCUAAAAAUACGUAUGGUUUGUGCUUGUCGGAAUCAGAAACAGUCAACAAAGAGCGAGCGAACAGUUACAAAAAUCCCCGCACUCAGGACCUCACCGCCAAGCUUCGGAAAGCUGUGGAGAAGGGAGAGGAGGACACCUUUUCUGACCUUAUCUGGAGCAACCCCCGGUAUCUGAUCGGCUCAGGAGACAACCCCACUAUCGUGCAGGAAGGGUGCAGGUACAACGUGAUGCAUGUUGCUGCCAAAGAGAACCAGGCUUCCAUCUGCCAGCUGACUCUGGACGUCCUGGAGAACCCCGACUUCAUGAGGCUGAUGUACCCUGAUGACGACGAGGCCAUGCUGCAGAAGCGCAUCCGCUACGUGGUUGACCUGUACCUAAACACCCCCGACAAGAUGGGCUAUGACACACCGUUGCAUUUUGCUUGUAAGUUUGG